UGGGGAAUUUUGGACAAUGGGCGAAAGCCUGAUCCAGCAAUGCCGCGUGUGUGAAGAAGGCCUUCGGGUUGUAAAGCACUUUUGUCCGGAAAGAAAUCCUUGGCUCUAAUACAGUCGGGGGAUGACGGUACCGGAAGAAUAAGCACCGGCUAACUACGUGCCAGCAGCCGCGGUAAUACGUAGGGUGCAAGCGUUAAUCGGAAUUACUGGGCGUAAAGCGUGCGCAGGCGGUUUGCUAAGACCGAUGUGAAAUCCCCGGGCUCAACCUGGGAACUGCAUUGGCGACUGGCAGGCUAGAGUAUGGCAGAGGGGGGUAGAAUUCCACGUGUAGCAGUGAAAUGCGUAGAGAUGUGGAGGAAUACCGAUGGCGAAGGCAGCCCCCUGGGCCAAUACUGACGCUCAUGCACGAAAGCGUGGGGGAGCAAACAGGAUUAGAUACCCUGGUAGUCCACGCCCUAAACGAUGUCAACUAGUUGUUGGGGAUUCAUUUCCUUAGUAACGUAGCUAACGCGUGAAGUUGACCGCCUGGGGAGUACGGUCGCAAGAUUAAAACUUAAAUGAAUUGACGGGGUCAUAGCUGUUUCCU
rnacentral:rRNA from 1 species